rnacentral:lncRNA from 1 species
UUUUUUAUGUUGCUUACCUGAAAUUACAAGCAUGUAAUCUUCGUUGUAACCUUUUAAUUUAUAACACGUUUAUUUGUUUGCAGAUAUUUUUGGCGAAGAACUAACAGGAAAAGGAUCAGAAAAAAGACCAAAGACCGCAUAUGUAAAUAGUUGUAUCAUACAUGUUGUAACUGUUGUGACACUUUAGGCAUCCCUUAAUGUAAUGCUCUUGUGAACGCAUAUAUGUAAAUUAAGUGUGUACCACUUAACAUAAAAUAUUGUGUACUAGAUUCCAUACUUGCAUCAUUGAAUUUUGAGUUAAAUAACGUUGGGCCCGUGCUGGCACGGGCUACACCAUCCUAGUCUUCUUUAGAAGAGAAAGAGUUUUCGACAUGUGUGUUUCAUGUCUUUUUUAUAAAGCUCGAGGGUAAUUUAGUCAUUUCACAUAAGCUCCUACAAGUUUCAUAUACGUGGCUGGGUUUGUGUACUCAAAACUAUACGUGUAAUUUUUAUAUGAUUCCACCUGUAUUUUAAGAAGAUAGCACGUUAGGUUUUCCAUUAAUUUCUUUAAGAUUACUUCUCAGAUUACGGUCUUCCAUGUCAGGUAUGUUUCACUUUCAAUCAAUUUUUCCCAUAUCUUUUUUCUCCUUUUCCUUUGUUCUUUCUUCACUCUGAGUUUUUCUCCAUCUACUAUGAAUUGUGUUGAGUUUCUAUGCACUCUAUUCCCUUAAAUUUGGUUUACCCAUUUCUUGGUGGUGGUAUGUUGGCAGAUAUGUGUCGGUUUCCUUCAAACAAGAAUUUGAUAAAGCACAAACAGUCUAUGUAUUGCUUGCUAUUUUAUUGAUUUCUCAAUUCCGUGUCCCUUAUUAGUCUUUUUGUUUCUAUUAUUUUGCACCUUUCUCCAAUUUUUUGAGUUGCGCCUCCCUAUUUCUGCAGGAUCCAUUGAUGGUGUACAUAAUGGUAUGUAUAUGUGCUGCUAAUUGCUUUUUACUAUUAUUUCAUAUAGUUGGUAUUUUUUCCACAACCAACUACGCAAUCGAUAGCGGUCUCAUUCUUUUCAUGACCCAAUUUUGAUUCCUUAGGUAAAAAUCUCUGAUGUGGAGGUGUUUGAUAAAAAAAAUUCAAUGAAUUGGAUUUUCUAUUUGAUUUCUUAUGCAUUUGUAGUCUUUUCCAUCCUUCGAAGGUAAGGGAGAAAAUAGAAAAUUGCCAGCGAAUGUUUGACACUAUUAUCUACACCUCUAUCAUGUUUUCUAUUUUCACCACAGAGCAUGAGAGUUAUAGUUACAGAGCGAGAUUUGUGGAUUUUGGUUGUAACUAUUUGUAUUUCAUGUCUUUCAUUUCUUCUUCACGAAUGAAAGAAACUAAAUUUUGACGAAUUAAUUAAAGUUGGACUAAAAUUUAAAUCCAGUGUAAAGAAUUUCAGAAAAUUCAAAUUUAUUCUUGAUUUUCUUUGUCCUCCAUGGAGAAGCUCCUUGCAGUUUAACUAUAAAUUGAGCAUGAUUUGCUGAAUUUCAUGACUUUCAGAUACAAUCACUACUUCACUAGGUGAUGAAGCAGUCUAUUGUUUGAUUAUAGAUAUCAUCUGCUGAAACUAAGAAUCUCAUUAGCCAUGUAAGUUGAUUAGAAGAUAUUCAUAAGUUAUGUGAAGAUUUAUGCUGAUGAUGUAGCUAUAUUUGUUUGUCCUGUAUCUUAUGACGGACAUUUCAAAGAGAUUUUUCCUUCAGGAGAUCUUGGACCACCCUUGAAUAAUUAAGACAGCUAAUCCGAAUGGAGCUUGCUAAAAGUGAUAUUUUCGCAUACUGCUCUCACCUCGAGUCUUUCAUCCCGUUUGCACCAGUUGAAUAACGUCCAGCAUCACAAAAUUUGACAGAAGAUUCGUAGUAGACGUGAAAUUCUUGAGAGUCUAUACCUCUUGUGCAGGCAGAUGACA